rnacentral:rRNA from 1 species
CAGCAGCCACGGGAAUACAGAGGGUGCAAGCGUUAAUCGGAAUUACUGGGCGUAAAGCGCGCGUAGGUGGUUCGCCAAGUUGGAUGUGAAAUCCCCGGGCUCAACCUGGGAACUGCAUCCAAAACUGGCGAGCUAGAGUAUGGUAGAGGGUGGUGGAAUUUCCUGUGUAGCGGUGAAAUGCGUAGAUAUAGGAAGGAACAUCAGUGGCGAAGGCGACCACCUGGACUGAUACUGACACUGAGGUGCGAAAGCGUGGGGAGCAAACAGGAUUAGAUACCCGUGUAGUCCCUGUCUCUUAUAC